GAUUUCUGGUUGGAUGCGCCUGGCCCGCCACGGUUUCGUGUGUGAGUGCCGGUUGUGCGUCUGCCAUCCUUCUAGUCCUCAUUCAAUUCAGCAAUGAAUGAAUGGAGAGCUAGAUCUUUUACUUUGAAAAAAUUAGAGUGUUUCAAGCAGGCAUGUUGCUAUGAAUACAUUAGCAUGGAAUAAUAAGUUAGGACUUCGGUUCUAUUUUGUUGGUUUCUAGAACUGCAGUAAUGAUUGAUAGGGAUAGUUGGGGGUGCUAGUAUUCAGUGGCCAGAGGUGAAAUUCUCGGAUUCACUGAAGACUAACUUAUGCGAAAGCAUU
rnacentral:rRNA from 1 species